rnacentral:snRNA from 1 species
ACCUUUACCUCAUGGCGAGAUACCAUGAUCAUGAAGAUGUUUUUACCAGAGCGAGGUUUAUUCAUUGCACUCCGGAUGUGUUGGUCCCAAAGGCGGGGAAACUCGACUGCAUAAUUUGUGAUAAUGGGGACUGCCCCCUG